rnacentral:rRNA from 1 species
CCUACGGGAGGCAGCAGUGGGGAAUAUUGGACAAUGGGCGAAAGCCUGAUCCAGCAAUGCCGCGUGAGUGAUGAAGGCCUUCGGGUCGUAAAGCUCUUUUACCAGGGAUGAUAAUGACAGUACCUGGAGAAUAAGCUCCGGCUAACUCCGUGCCAGCAGCCGCGGUAAUACGGAGGGAGCUAGCGUUGUUCGGAAUUACUGGGCGUAAAGAGUACGUAGGCGGUUAUUCAAGUCAGAGGUGAAAGCCCGGGGCUCAACCCCGGAACUGCCUUUGAAACUAGAUAACUAGAGUCUUGGAGAGGUUAGUGGAAUUCCGAGUGUAGAGGUGAAAUUCGUAGAUAUUCGGAAGAACACCAGUGGCGAAGGCGACUAACUGGACAAGUACUGACGCUGAGGUACGAAAGCGUGGGGAGCAAACAGGAUUAGAUACCCUGGUAGUCCACGCCGUAAACGAUAGAUAACUAGUUGUUCGGUCACUUGGUGACUGAGUGACGCAGCUAACGCAUUAAGUUAUCCGCCUGGGGAUACGGUCGCAAGAUUAAAACUCAAAGGAAUUGACGG